rnacentral:rRNA from 1 species
UACGUAGGGCGCAAGCGUUGUCCGGAUUUAUUGGGCGUAAAGAGCUCGUAGGCGGCUUGUUGCGUCGACCGUGAAAACCCGUGGCUCAACUGCGGGCUUGCGGUCGAUACGGGCGGGCUAGAGUUCGGUAGGGGAGACUGGAAUUCCUGGUGUAGCGGUGAAAUGCGCAGAUAUCGGGAGGAACACCUAUGGCGAAGGCAGCUCGCUGGGACGUUACUGACGCUGAGACGCGAAAGCGUGGGGAGCAAACAGG